rnacentral:rRNA from 1 species
UACAUAGGGUGCAAGCGUUAAUCGGAAUUACUGGGCGUAAAGGGUGCGCAGGCGGCUUGGAAAGAACGGUGUGAAAUCCCGGGGCUCAACCCCGGAACUGCACUAUUAACUAUCAAGCUAGAGUAUGUCAGAGGGGGGUGGGAAUUCCGCGUGUAGCAGUGAAAUGCGUAGAUAUGCGGAGGAACACCAAUGGCGAAGGCAGCCCCCUGGGAUAAUACUGACGCUCAGGCACGAAAGCGUGGGUAGCAAACAGGAUUAGAUACCCGUGUAGU